UACGGAGGAUGCGAGCGUUAUCCGGAUUUAUUGGGUUUAAAGGGUGCGUAGGCGGGCUUUUAAGUCAGCGGUAAAAAUUCGGGGCUCAACCCCGUCCGGCCGUUGAAACUGGGGGCCUUGAGUGGGCGAGAAGAAGGCGGAAUGCGUGGUGUAGCGGUGAAAUGCGUAGAUAUCAGGAGGAACACCGGCGGCGAAGGCGGCCUGCUGGACCGCGACUGACGUUGAGGCUCGAAAGCGUGGGGAGCGAACAGG
rnacentral:rRNA from 1 species